rnacentral:rRNA from 1 species
UACGAAGGGGGCUAGCGUUGCUCGGAAUCACUGGGCGUAAAGCGCACGUAGGCGGCUUCUUAAGUCAGGGGUGAAAUCCUGGAGCUCAACUCCAGAACUGCCUUUGAUACUGAGGAGCUUGGAGUCCGGGGAGAGGUGAGUGGAACUGCGAGUGUAGAGGUGAAAUUCGUAGAUAUUCGCAAGAACACCAGUGGCGAAGGCGGCUCACUGGCCCGGUACUGACGCUGAGGUGCGAAAGCGUGGGGAGCAAACGGG